UACAUAGGGGGCAAGCGUUAUCCGGAAUUAUUGGGCGUAAAGGGUGCGUAGGCGGUUAUUUAAGUCUUUGGUGUAAGUGCAGAGCUCAACUCUGUGAUGCUAAGGAAACUGGAUGACUUGAGUGUGGUAGAGGUAAGUAGAAUUCCAUGUGUAGCGGUAAAAUGCGUAAAUAUAUGGAGGAAUACCAGUGGCGAAGGCGGCUUACUGGGCCACAACUGACGCUGAGGCACGAAAGCGUGGGGAGCAAACAGG
rnacentral:rRNA from 1 species